GGGUACGGGGCACUCUUCCCCAUUAGGGGAAUGGUCAAUCUUCCCCCCGGGUCACACCUGCACCCUCCUCUCGCACAGACAAUCCCAGGGGCAGGCCGUGCGCCUGAAGACGUCCUUGACGGAGGGGCAGGGUCCCUGUCAGGGAGGGCACCCCCUGUAAGCCACAGACGAAUGGCGACCGCGGCUUCCUCCAAAACUGCAGAGACAUAGGACAGCGGGGAAAGGCCCCGGCAAGCAAGACCCACACAGAGGGGAAGAGUCCUCACCUGGCCCAGCAGCGCUGAUGAGCCCCAGACUCCGCCCCCGGCUGGAGCUUGACCCCGCCCCCCAGACUCUGCCUGCGCAAAGGGGCUCUUCUCAGGGUCUACGCUUGAGGGUGCAGCCCCAGGGGCACGCUGAGCGACCGAAGGCGCCCUAAACGGAGGGGCGGGGUCACUGUCCGAGACGGCACCCCCUGUACGCCAUAGACAAGCGGCUACCGCGGCCUCCUCCAAAACUGCAGGCAGACAGGGCGGCGCAGAAAGCCCAGGGCAACCCAACCCCACUGAAAGGGCAGACAGGCUGGCGCAGAAAUCCCCGGCAACCCAGCACCACUCAGAGGGGAAGAGUCCUCCCCUGGCCCAGCAGCGAAUGAAGAGCCCGAGGCUCCGCCCCUGGCCCAGAGCCUGACCCCGCCCACUGGACGGCGCGUGCGCAAAGGGCCAGGCCGUGCCCCCAAAAACGCCCAUGACGGAGCGGCGGGGUCACUGUCACGGGGGGCACCCCCUGGAAGCCACAGACGAGCGGCGACCGCGUCUUCUUCCACAAUUGCAGAGAGACAGGCCGGCGGGGAAAGGCAAGGGCAACCCAGCCCCAUUCAGAGGGGAAGAGUCUUCACCUGGCCCAGCAGCGCUGAUGAGCCCCGGCUCCGCCCCCCGCUGGAGCCUGACCCUGCUCACUGGACUCUGCCUGCGCAACGGUGCACUUCUCAGGGCCGCCUUGAGGGGGCGCUGGUCAGGGACUUCGCGGACCCUCAUCCCCCACGGGGCUUGGGGGCCCUCUACACCAACCGGGUUACGGGGUCCUAAGACCCCUACAGGGACCAGGUUCUCAAGCCCGUUUUGGGAACGGGUCCCCUUCCCCCUGGUGGAUACCUACACCCUCCUCUUGCAAUCACACCCCUAGGGCCAGGCCGUGCCCCCAAAAACGCCCAUGACGGAGCGGCGGGGUCACUGUCACGGGGGGCACCCCCUGGAAGCCACAGACAAGCGGCGACCUCGGCCUCUUCCAAAAUUGCAGGCAGACAGGCCGGCGCGGAAAGCCCCGGGCAACCCAGCCCCACUCAGAGGGGAAGAGUCCUCACCUGGCCCAGCAGUGCUGCUGAGCCUCUGGCUAUGCCCCAGGCUGGAGCUUGACCCCGCCCCCGGACUCUGCCUGCGCAAAGAAGGCCUAUACAAAGAAAGAAGUGAAAACUUGAAGAAGUGAUUAGAGUUGGAAGUUUAAUACCAUUUUAAUGAAGGGAAAAGUUACUGGACAACAAAAGAAGAGUUUUAGGGACCAUAAAUUAUGUGGCUUUUUAGGUUUCCUGGCUCCUUUGGGGCUUAUUGUUUGGAAGAGUCAGUGCAAGUUUGUCAAUAGUAGCCCUGAGUCUACCUAAACUAUUUCGUGGCCAGAAACUGACAGUGAAACAUUUCAACAGAAACCAAGCCCUCCAAAGUGAACUUUCUAAAUGGUGUGCUGAAUCUGAGAAUUUCAACCUUAUUUUUCUGUUGGGUAAAAAUCAUUCUCUUUUAUUGUCCUGUACUCACUUUUAUUU